UGUAACAAAAAACCGACUUGCUUGAAUCAGUAAAAAUUCUACGAGUUUUUGGCUCUCUCUCUCAAAAUUAUGACACACCAUGUGGAGUUUUUGCAGGUUGGGGUAAGCUUUGUCUCUCAUCUCUCAUAACUUUCUCUCUCAUCAGAUUGUUCAAACUAUGACACCCCAUAUGUUGAUUUUGUGAGUUGGGGUCAUCUCUCCUCUCUCUUCAUGGGGUUCAAACUAUGACAGUCAACAUGCAGAUUACAUAUGAUAUUGAUAUGGAAUUUUUGCAGGUUGGGGUAAGGUUUUACUCUUAUCAGAUAAUUCAUCGUAUGAUAGUACCGAUAUAGAAUUUUUGGGGUAUCAGAAUGAAUAAUUCUGAUUUAGCCUCUUCUUUUGGUUUUUUUCUUUGUUUAUUUCCUGUGUUUUGUUUUGGGGUUUCAUUCUCACCGUGGAAAUCAGUUUCUGUCUCAUGGCAACACGUGAACUGAGGAGAGAGAGGUUGGGCGAUUGUUCCGAUGCACUAGUUUUACUGUGUGUCGUAUUGCCACCAGUGGUUUGAAAAGAUUAAAGUUCCAGCAAAAAAAUUCCAGCCAAAAGAGAGAGAGAAAGAGAAGAGAGAGAAAGAGAGAAGAGAGAGAGUUAGAGAGAGAUGGGAGAUGAUAGAGAGAUUAGAGAGUGUGAUAGGAAAGGAGGAAGGGAAAGGUAGAGAGAUGAUGUGAAAGAGAAUAGAGAGAAAGAGAGAAGCAAGUAGUAGAGAGAGAAGUAGGAGAAGAGAGGGCACAGAGGUGAGUAGAGAGAGGCUGGAGAAAGUAGUAGAGAGAGAAGUAGGAGAGGAGAGGGCACAGAGGUGAGUAGAGAGAGGCUGGAGAGAGAGAGAAGCCAGAAGAGAGAAGAGGAAGAGAGAAGCAAGAAGAGAGUAGAGAGAGAAGAGGAAGAGAGAAGCAAGAAGUGAGUAGUGAGAGAGAAUUAAGAGAGUAGAAAGAGGGCACAGAGGUGAGUAGAGAGAGGUCGGAGAGAGGCAAGUAAGAAAGAAAGGAAGAAGAGAGAGAAGCAAGAAAGAGAAACUAGAGAGAGACUCAAGUAAGGAGAGAGAGAGAGGAGGAAAGGC
rnacentral:lncRNA from 1 species